rnacentral:tRNA from 1 species
AGGGGCAUCGUCCAAUGGUAGGAUACCGGUCUCCAAAACCGUUGAUGGGGGUUCGAAUCCCUCUACCCCUG